ensembl:lncRNA
AAAUUAAGUCUUAACAAUGUCUCAAACUGUGCUCAAACUGUGUAUACUCACUCUUAGGUUUUAAGAAAUGUAGCAUUGCAUCACUGAAAAGCAGUGUGAUUUUAAGUAGCAAAUCCAUCAUAAAGGCAGUUUAACUUUAAUCUGUCACUUCUGACCACAAUACCAAUGCAUAAUCCAUAAUAGCGUUUCCUCCAGUGAAAAAGUGCAUCUCUUGUCUUCUCUCACAUCAAAAUCCAGCCACAGAUUUGUUUCGAGCUGUUUUGGACAGUUUUGGCUUGUAAACGGUGAUUGAUCUGUGCAGAUUUCUCUCCUGAUUCAGACCAGAUGACUCUAUCACUGGAGACCUCAAUAGUAUGUCUCAUAUGGAUAUUAUUAAUAUGGAUAUAGUUUAGCAAAUGUUUAAAGUUAAAAAUGUUAUGUUAACUGUUAAAAAUGUUAAUUGAUGGACUUGGAUUACUUGUGGAUUAUUGUGAUUUUUUUAUCAGCUGUUUGGACUCUCAUUCUGACGGCACCCAUUCACUGCAGAGCAUCCACUGCUGAGACACUGAUGCAAUGCUACAUUUCUCCAAAUCUGAUGAAGAGACCAACUCAUCCUAAUUUUGGUGAAUACAUUUUCAGCUAAUUUAAAUUUUUGGUGAUCUCUUACUUGUAAAGUCAAAUAAUUCAAAACGAACGCAUCCAAUUCUUCCAAGACCAAAUUAUUUUAUGCAUUAAAUGUCUCGUUUGUUUCUAUUUUAUUUUUUCCUAAGGAAUUACAUUAGGAGAAACUCUUACUUUACUGAGGGAAGCAUACAUGAUUAUUUGUCAUGGAAACUUCACAAUACAAAACCUAUACAUUCAUAAAAAAUAGAUUCAUGUUCUUUAUGCAAAAUACAAUUUCCUUCUUAUUUCUAACGAUUUUGGGGUGGAAUGUGACCUGGAUAUGUUUCACCCGCAUGCAUUCAGUAUAUAUACACUACUUUAUUCCCAUUGAUAUGUAUAUUUUAAAAUGUAUUGUAUUCCUGUCAUUUCAAAGCUGAAUUUUUAGCACAAUUACUCCAGUCUUCAGUGUCACAUAAUCCUUCAGAAAUCAUUCUAAUAAACUGAUCUGCUGCUCAAAUAUUGUUGUAGAAAACAGCAUUUUUUAGGUUUCUUUCAUUAGAAAGCUCAGAAGAACAGCAUUUAUCUGAAGUAGAAAUAAUUUGUAACACUAUAAAUGUGUCAGGGGAACAGGGAUCAGAACACAGGGAAGUGAGUUCAUCUGUACAGGUGACCAGGUAAGUACAGAAAUUAACAUAACUUUAUGACUGAAUAAGAAGAGUAAACGGUCUCUUAUCCACAGGUAACUUCAACAGAAACAGGCUUAGUAGACAUCAGGCAAAACUCAGGUAAACAGAAAGUCUCUAGGUAAGAUCACUCGACUUCUCAUAACUCUUCUUUAUCCUCUCCAGGUUGAGGGUUCUGAGAGAAGACCGAUGGAGGAUUCACAGGUAGGUCAGGACACGAUGAUUCAGGCGAGUAGCACUAGUGAGGCGUGAAGGAAGUGCAUCACAUAAUGUUUAGGGUACCAACAACAAGACCAGACAACAAGGGCGUGAAAGGCAACUGCUUUUAUAUGGAAGGUGACGAGGUGAAUAGUGGCAGGUGUGUUGACUGGGGAUCCGGUGCAUGUGUGAAGCAGGUGGAAUGCUGGGAAUUAGAGUCCUUAAUAUGCUAUGGUUCCUUGAGCUGGUGACUGUCUGGUGAACUUGUGACAAAAGGGCCUUUAGCACCGCUUUAGUUCCAGAACUAAAUUUACAGUACUGAAGUACUGGGACGAUUUUGCGUGAGCUGUUUCCCAGUACGAUUUAAAGGGUUGCAUUUGCACCGAGAGUGUGUACUAGGACGUGACAUAAGCCAGUUGACAGUGACGUCAUUUGUGCGCAACGUUCAACAACGUUAACAACAGGAGACAGGAGGACGCUGUGAUUGGAGCUGUGUUUUUGUUGUGUCUCGCGGGUUUCACAAUAAUGGACAUGGAAUGUCAACGUAUACAUAAAUCAAUUGAAAGAACGGAAAAGAGGACUAAGAAUCUCCAACGACAAUUUGCUACAAGUGUCUGCACUUCAGCGUCCGUCCAUCUAUUGCUGUUCAUCAUACUUGCGAAAUAAGUUGACACAAUGUUUACAGUACAGUGUAUGUUACACAGCGUUUUAAAUCAUGGUGUGUGAGGGCGUUUUCAUAUGCGUUUGACCAAUCAAUGUCUACUUACGUCACGGGUAGUACUAGUUGUGCUGGUUAGACCCUGCUCCGGAUUAGGAGCUAAUUUGGUUCUCGAAAAAGGCAGUCCGGUACUAAAAUCGCACCGCCCGAAAGUGGGUAGUUACACAAUUAGUUCUGGUACUAUGAAAAGGUUCCUGCAGUGUGAAAGGCCCUAAAAUGUCUUUAUUAUCACUUUUGAUUGACAAUUUACUUACCACACAAUUAAAACGUACUUGAAUUAGAGAGGAGUUUGGUGUUUUUAUCUGAAUGUAGAUGACCAAACAAGUAAUGCUGCACUCCACAGUCCAGACCUGCAGUGACAGUGCAAAAUAUUUAUUUAUUUAUUUAUCAGUCAAUCAUAAGAGCCUGCAAGAUAAAAUGUGGAAAGUAGAAGAAAAAAGUUAUCAGUAACUUCAGAUUAGCAGAUUGACAAGUUUCCCAAAGUUGGUACUGUGAGGAAAAAGAAAUAAUGGACCUUAUGUGUUGUGUUGUAGCAGGCUGGUCAUGUUUCCUCUGACUUCCACUGUUCAGCAGCUGAUAAGGUGGUGGUAAAACUUUAGAAGUGCUCUCUGAUAGAGGAACAUCUACAACAACCAAAUAUAUUGUGUUUAGAAUAAUAUACAAUUACUUCAGCAAAACGAAUAAUUUACUAUACAAUAACUGCAAACACCAAAUACUCACAGUUAUCCACAGAAAAAUGGAAACAUCUCCAUCAGCUUCUCAUUGUUCUUCUUGGUUUGAAUUCAUGUUUAUAACGGCUGUCUGACGGUGAUUUGACCGACUCUUUGUUUCAUCUUUUCCUAUCCACCGGUCUGGCUUCCGGUCUCAUCUGCGUCCACUCCAUCAUCCAGCUAUUUUUAGCUGAACAAAAUAGUUUGUUUUGCUGCUUGAUAUUGAAAGUUGGUGUGUCUUAUCAUAUUGUUUUAAUGCAUCAUCUUAAUUAUGAGCACACUGGUUUGUAAUGCAAACAGUUUUACCAUUUACUGCACGUUGUCAUUCUCCUCGUUAUUUACCUAUAGUGGCUUAUUUUCUAUUAAACUUGACAGUGCAGAUGUAAAUUUUAAGUUUAUUUUUUUCAGAAUAAAGGUGUGUCAAAGUAAAAUUGAAAUAAAAACACAAAUAUAAUGUAGUAUAAUAUUUUUAAUAGCCUAAUGUGUGAAAAUACAUAAAGCAUGGUUCAUCCCAAAGAACCUUUUUUUGCCACAAAGGGUUCUUUCUAGUUAUAUAGAACCUUUUUAGCAUAAAGGAUUCUUUGGAGGUGAGUAAAGGGUUCUAUAAAGAACCCCCCAAAAAACCCUUUUUUCUAAGAGUGUAUAGUGUGUGUAACGUUACAAAAUAUUUUUAUUUCAGAUAAAUGAUAAUCUUUGGAUCUUUUUGUUCAUCAAAGAAUCCUGAAAAAAUAUUUUACUAUUUAAAAUAUUGAUGAUAAUAAUAACAAUAAUAAUAAUAAUAAUUUUGAGCAGCAAAUCGGCAUAUUAGAAUGAUUUCUGAAGGAUCAUGUGACAA